GAUGAACGCUGGCGGCGUGCCUAAUACAUGCAAGUCGAGCGAACAGACGAGGAGCUUGCUCCUCUGACGUUAGCGGCGGACGGGUGAGUAACACGUGGAUAACCUACCUAUAAGACUGGGAUAACUUCGGGAAACCGGAGCUAAUACCGGAUAAUAUAUUGAACCGCAUGGUUCAAUAGUGAAAGACGGUUUUGCUGUCACUUAUAGAUGGAUCCGCGCCGCAUUAGCUAGUUGGUAAGGUAACGGCUUACCAGGGCGACGAUGCGUAGCCGACCUGAGAGGGGGAGAGGCCACACUGGAGGGGCGACAGGGACAAGACGCAUGCGGGAGGCAGCAGAAGGAAAGCGUCCGAAGGGGGAAAAAGCGUGACGGAAAAGGGGGGCGGGAGAAGGAAAGGUGUUGGGAUCGAAAAACUUUGUUAUGGGGAAAAAAAAAAUGUAGAAGAAAAAGUACAGGGCUUGAGGGUAAAAAAUAAAAAAGCCACGGAUAACUACGUG
rnacentral:rRNA from 1 species